rnacentral:rRNA from 1 species
AUGGAAUACCGUCGGCAGCCAAUCACCAUGACGAAAAGAAGCCGUGGGACCGUCCUUGACGACCUCCCCGAGUGGAUUGUCAUCGAAGAGAUCCUCAUCCGGUUGCCACCAAAGGACGUUCUUCGCUGCCGCGCUGUCCGCAAGUUGUGGUGCAGUGCCACCUCCACCGACAAGUUCAUGCUCGACAACUGCCUACGCCAGCCGUCGCUCCCUGUUAUCAACCAGGAUAUCCCUGGGCAGGAAGGAGUCACCUUCGUUGUCUUCCGUGACAAUGUUGUCGGAGCCUCUGAUCAAAAACUCUGGCCAAUCAUUCAACACUCUAAGUUCCAUAAUCUCCUGGGAGCCUGUGAUGGCUUUCUCAUCUUGUCCGAUGGAUCCCAUUUCUGGAUCUGCAAUCCGGCCACUCGCAGAUGUGCUCCGCUACCACAACCUCGAGUUCCAUCGUCAUAG